CACGGCGGAAGAGAAGUCGGUUGAUUAGAAC
rnacentral:sRNA from 1 species